GAAAUUGUGUUAUACUGGAGUUAUACCGGACUAGGUUAAAAUGUUGAAAAGUAGGUUAAAUCGGGAAAAUUAGAAAUGACCAAAAUACCCCUAGGAAUUGAUUUUAGUCUUAGGGUUAUAAAAGGGGCAAAUUAGUCAUUUUAGUGAUGGAUAUUAAUUUUGUCCUAUAUGGAUUUUUGGCUGAAAUUGAGGUUUAUAUUAGUUAGAUAAGUUUAUUUAAAAUUUAGUUUAAUAAAAUAAAAGGGAUAAAGCUUAUAAAGAAAGAAAAGAAGUAAAAACCAAAUAUUAUCCAAGUCUUUCUCUUCCCCUUCGGCAGGCCUAGCACCCCAAGCAAGAAAUUAGAAAUUUUCUUGCAAUUUCAACCAGUUUUUAGCAGGAUUGAUCAAGGUUAGAAGUCUCCUAAGUUGUGAGGUAAGUUCUCUAUCUUUCUCUAGUUGAUUUUUGAAGUAUGGAUUGAGUUUUGGUUAGGGUUUUAGGAUUUCAGGUCUGAGGUGCUAAACUGAGUUUAGAUUAUGUUUUUAGGUUUGAUUUAGGGUUUUCUUGAGUUCAAAUUAAGUGUAUUUAAUGGCUGUUUGGUUUGGAAUUAGAAAUUUUAGUUUAAGAACCUAAUUUUUGGUUCUAGCAUGGUGUUUUGAAUAUUUUGAUGAAUUGUUGAGAACUGUUUGUUUGAAUGCAUUAUUUUUAUGGUACAAAACUGUUCUAGAGAGUUUGAAUAAGUUUGGAAGCAAUUUGGUUGGGUUUUGGUGCAAAAACCAGAGUUUCCCUUUUCUGCAUCAGGGAAACCGAUUAACCAGUUUCACAGGUAUAGUGAAACUGAUCAACUAGUUUUGCCAGCAAGGGAAACACUAGUUUUUGGCUUUGAAAUCGGUUUUCAUCGGGGUGUUUUUUAGAGCUUAGAUUAGGGUAUUUUAGUGAUGUUUAAGUUAUUUUGAACCAGUGGGGAGUUAGAAUUUGUCCAGUUAUGGAAUUAGGGUUUGUUUUGGAGUUUGAUUAAGUUAUUUUAUUGGAUUUUGUAGGACUCGGGAUCAUCGAGCUUUAUUCCACUGAGUUCGGCGUGCACACUUGAUUACUGAACUGAGAUAAAGGGAAGGGCAAAGUGGAUCAGCCAUAAGUCAGAGGUCUCCCAACGAUGUACAUAUCAACCGCAGUGCCUCGGUUUCCAGUGGACAGGAUCCACUCCUUUUGACUGUAUUUUGAAAGUAUAAUUCGAUGUUGUAAUACCACUUUUGGAACAAAUUGUAAAAGUUUUUAUACAGGGGAUCCCCGUACUUAACAUUAGUUUUCUUUUAUAAAAAUUAUGUUUUUAUUUUAA